UACGUAGGCAGCAAGCGUUGUUCGGAGUUACUGGGCGUAAAGGGUGUGUAGGCGGUUGUUUAAGUUUGGUGUGAAAUCUCCCGGCUCAACUGGGAGGGUGCGCCGAAUACUGAAUGACUUCGAGUACGGGAGGAGGAAAGUGGAAUUCCUGGUGUAGCGGUGAAAUGCGUAGAUAUCAUGAGGAAGACCAGUGGCGAAGGCGGGUCUCUGGACAGUUCCUGACACUGAGGCACGAAGGCCAGGGGAGCAGACGGG
rnacentral:rRNA from 1 species